rnacentral:rRNA from 1 species
AUACGUGGGGAGCAAGCGUUGUUCGGAUGUACUGGGCGUAAAGAGCACGGAGGCGGGUGAGUAAGUCGGUCGUGAAAUCCUUUGGCUCAACUAGAGAAUUGCGGCCGAAACUAUUCAUCUGGAGUCUAUCAGAGGGAAUUGGAAUCCGAGGUGUAGCGGUGAAAUGCGUAGAGAUCUCGGAGAACACCAGUGGCGAAGGCGAAUUCCUGGGAUAGUACUGACGCUGAGGUGCGAAAGUGUGGGGAGCAAACAGGAUUAGAAACCCCAGUAGUCC